UGAGGAAUAUUGGUCAAUGGACGAGAGUCUGAACCAGCCAAGUAGCGUGCAGGAUGACGGCCCUAUGGGUUGUAAACUGCUUUUGUUUGGGAAUAAUCGACAUUACGUGUAAUGUUUUGCAUGUACCAUUCGAAUAAGGACCGGCUAAUUCCGUGCCAGCCGCCGCGGUAAUACGGAAGGUCCAGGCGUUAUCCGGAUUUAUUGGGUUUAAAGGGAGUGUAGGCGGUUGGUUAAGCGUGUUGUGAAAGGUAGAUGCUCAACAUCUGACUUGCAGCACGAACUGGGUGACAAGAGUACAAACAACGUAGGCGUGAUUCAUAGUGUAGCGGUGAAAUGAUUAGAAAUCAUGGAGAACUCCAAUUGCGAAGGCAGCUAACGGGAGUAUUACUGAAGCAUAAGCUCGAAGGUACGGGUAUCGAACAGG
rnacentral:rRNA from 1 species